rnacentral:rRNA from 1 species
AUUGAACGCUGGCGGCAGGCUUAACACAUGCAAGUCGAGCGGGGUGAUGGUGCUUGCACUAUCACUUAGCGGCGGACGGGUGAGUAAUGCUUAGGAAUCUGCCUAUUAGUGGGGGACAACAUCUCGAAAGGGAUGCUAAUACCGCAUACGUCCUACGGGAGAAAGCAGGGGAUCACUUGUGACCUUGCGCUAAUAGAUGAGCCUAAGUCGGAUUAGCUAGUUGGUGGGGUAAAGGCCUACCAAGGCGACGAUCUGUAGCGGGGCUGAGAGGAUUAUCCGCCACACUGGGACUGAGACGCGGCCCCGACUCCUACGGGAGGCAGCAGUGGGGAAUAUUGGACAAUGGGGGGAACCCUCAUCCAGCCAUGCCGCGUGUGUGAAGAAGGCCUUAUGGUUGUAAAGCACUUUAAGCGAGGAGGAGGCUCUUUUGGUUAAUACCCAAGAUGAGUGGACGUUACUCGCAGAAUAAGCACCGGCUAACUCUGUGCCAGCCGCCGCCGUAA